rnacentral:lncRNA from 1 species
CCGUCUUAGUUAACACUAUCUGCCAUCAAGAGGUUAACACUAGUGCCAUAUAUGAAAGAAAAAAUCAAUAAAGAAAUGUUUAUAAUAGGAAACAAUACUUAAGCUUACACAAGAGUUUCAACCAUGGUUUAUCCUCCAGGUAUUCUGCCAAUAUUAAAAUAGCAUCAGCCACUACACCAAUAAAGAGGUUAAUUAAGAAAUUUAAAGAUAUAAUUAAAGAAUUUACAAAACUUUGAAAAUCUCUUGUCCCUCUCACAAUUAAGUCAUGGGGAUGCAUUUUAUAAGGUCAUCAACAGCAC